CCCUGGGUGGCGUAAAUAGUUAAUGCGCUUGGCUGCUAACCAAGAGGUUGAAGGUUCGAGUCCAACCAGGGC
rnacentral:tRNA from 1 species